rnacentral:rRNA from 1 species
AUGCACGCUGGCGGCGUGCCUAAUCCAUGCAAGUCGAGCGAACAGAUGAGGAGCUUGCUCCUCUGACGUUAGCGGCGGACGGGUGAGUAACACGUGGAUAACCUACCUAUAAGACUGGGAUAACUUCGGGAAACCGGAGCUAAUACCGGAUAAUAUAUUGAACCGCAUGGUUCAAUAGUGAAAGACGGUUUUGCUGUCACUUAUAGAUGGAUCCGCGCCGCAUUAGCUAGUUGGUAAGGUAACGGCUUACCAAGGCAACGAUGCGUAGCCGACCUGAGAGGGUGAUCGGCCACACUGGAACUGAGACACGGUACAGACUCCUACGGGAGGCAGCAGUAGGGAAUCUUCCGCAAUGGGCGAAAGCCUGACGGAGCAACGCCGCGUGAGUGAUGAAGGUCUUCGGAUCGUAAAACUCUGUUAUUAGGGAAGAACAAAUGUGUAAGUAACUAUGCACGUCUUGACGGUACCUAAUCAGAAAGCCACGGCUAACUACGUG